rnacentral:tRNA from 1 species
GCCUGGGUGGCUCAGCAGUUGAGCGUCUGCCUUUGAUUCAGAUCAAGGUCCGAGGUCCUGGGAUCGAGUCCCACAUCGGGCU